GGUGAUCAUUGCUCUCCUUUAUUAAAUGUUAUCUUCUUCUCUUUCUCUUUUCAUUUUUUCUAUUUCCCAGUACUUCCAAGGAGGUAUUGCCUCCUCUUUACAGAAGAGGAAACUGCCAUUUUGAGGACCCAGAGAGCUUAUGCAGGUGCUGGGUUCUGGAUUCGGCACCCGGCCUGACUGCAUGGCCACCCUGCCUUCGGUAGGCUUCAAGCCCAGCGCAGAGCCCAGUGCGUGGCUUGAACUCACGACCCUGAGAUCAAGACCUGAGCCGAGAUCAAGAGUCAGACGCUUAGCUGACUGAGCCACCCGGGGGGGGGGGGGGGUGCCCGACGGCACCUGUUCUUUUUGACAAAAUCUGCCACGUGCUUGUUCUCCCCCGCCCCUUUCCCCCAUACCCUAUAAUCUCAAGCUAGGAAACCGAACGUCUGGAUGACAUUCUGAAUCAACAUGAAAGAACAUUUUGUGACCAUAAAGGUCAGGUUAGUUACGUCUCUCAAAACCUUAAAGGAAGUCAUCUUGGAUGCGGGUCAGAAAAAUCUCAGCCAGUUACCACAACCUAGCGUCUACGCAGGUCCUCAGUGUGCCGCUCCAGUACCUUUCCACUAUCCCCAGUAUUGCUCGUAAAUCCAUUCUGGUAUAAAACGAGUAUACUUCUACUGAGCUCUCUUUAUCUAAAACGGCAUUCAAUACCCUUAAUAUUUAUUUGAAUCCUUGCUGUGCAACAGCCUCCGCAGUUUACAUAUAUUGUGGUGUUUAAUCCUCACAACAACCCCACGAGGUGGGUAUUUGUAUCCCUUUUAACAGACGGAACUCUGAGAGGUUACGUCGCUUACCCAGGAUCACACAGCUGAUUAGUGAUGGGGCUAGGACUUGAACCUUGGUCUGGCCGUCCUCAAAGCCCGUGGGUUUCGACUUCUGCUAUUUAUCCUCCAGAUGGUUAAGGGCAGACAAAAAUGAAAUUCCCCGAUCUUGAUCACUUCCUGAUUUGCAAAGAUCACAGCACGAAACUGGGAGGUCAGCUGGAAAAUGUUUAACAAGUGGGUCUGGGGGGGGGGGGGGGCGGGGAACAGGAGGAAGCCCCGUGUUGGUUUCUGGGGUGACUCUCUCCAUGAGAAGUUCAACGUGAGGUCACCGAACACGGAGGUGUGAAGAAAUGCACCCAAUUGGUUCUUCUGAGCCUACAUAGGCCUGCAUUUCUACACUGGGAAAGAACCAUCCCUGAGCUUCUCCAUGGUUAGAACAAAGCACAUCCCAAGCCCUAAGUGGGGAAUAAGGCUUAUGUUCCACAGCACGAGGCUCAAGAUGUCUUACACACGAUCAAGUUUACAAUGUGGCCUCCACCUUCCCUUUAACCCUCUCUUCCAAUUCUCUAGGCUCCAGCUACACAGAGGGCUCUGCUGGUUUCUCUCCCCCAUUCUCUCCCUCCCUCCCUCCCUCCCUUCCUCUCCCUUCUGUCUGUCUGUCUGUCUGUCUGGCUCACCUCCUGGGGUUUUCCCUUCCCAGGUUGCUCUUCCCCCUUGUCCCCUAGUCAGUGCCUGUUGCUGCUGCCUGUCUCAGCCCCUAAGUCACUUUCUCAGGGUGCUUUCUUCACUUCCUGACUUUGGUUUCUUCCCAGUCCCCACGUAUGUUUCCUUCGUAGUACUUAAUCACCAUUUCACAGAAAUCACAUUUGUGCCUCGAAUCUCUCUCUUCCUGAGUACAUACAUCCUCAGGACCUGGCACAAGAUAGGUAAGACCCACGCACCUUCAACAUCUGGGGCUCAAACACAAUUCUGCAUGUUCCAAACAACCCAGCUUCCCUCCUGGUUCUUGGCAGGAAGCCACUCACUUAAAUGUUUACUAAGCUGAACUUGACAUUGACUCAUACUUUCAAGGCCUCAGUAUCUCUUUUGAAAGUAUGACUUCACAGUCAUGUUUCUGUCCACAGGUGGGAUUUUAUAAUCAUGCCUCUUCCACAGACUCUGAGAAUAACGUGUAUAAAACCACACUGCUGUACGAGGAUUCCCAGCCUCUCCCUCUCCUGCCUGGGCCAGCAAGGGGCCCAGCGAGACUGGAUCAAUAAACACUGGAAAAGGCAGGAGAGGAGGGAAAAGUGAGAGCCAACUGGGGCUUAGGCGUUUGGAGAAGAAAGGAGCAAGUUUAGGGAACAGAGGCUACGAAGAUGAGACAUAUGAAGGGAGAGGUGGAGAAAAUUGAUUUUGGAACUUUUUGUUCUGUGUUAGGACUGGAAUCCCUUGUGGCAUUUUUUUCCCCCAGUUGCAUGACUUAAUGACUAUAUUAGACACUGUAUGCUUCUUUUUUU